AUCGAUGAAGAACGCAGCGAAAUGCGAUAAGUAAUGUGAAUUGCAGAAUUCAGUGAAUCAUCGAAUCUUUGAACGCACCUUGCGCUCUAUGGUAUUCCGUAGAGCAUGCCUGUUUGAGUGUCAUGAAAACAAACAACUUCAAUUUUGGUUUACUCCAUUUUUGAGGCUUGGACUUGGGUGUUUGUCAUUUGUCAUGAAUGGCUCACCUUAAAUGUAUUAGCUGGACUUGUUUGUGAGAACUGGUUUGACUUGGCGUAAUAAAUAUUUCGCUAAGGACAUCUUUUGGGGUGGCCAUUUUUCUCAGCGGUUGUCUGCUUUCUAACCUUUGUUCUCCUUGGAGACAUGACUUUUAUUAUUUGGCCUCAAAUCAGGUAGGACUACCCGCUGAACUUAAGCAUAUCAAUAAGCGGAGGAAAAGAAACUAACAAGGAUUCCCCUAGUAACGGCGAGUGAAGCGGGAAGAGCUCAAAUUUGAAAUCUGGUGGCCUCAGGUCAUCCGAGUUGUAAUCUAUAGAAACGUUUUCCGUGCUGGCUCAUGUACAAGUCCCUUGGAACAGGGCGUCAUAGAGGGUGAGAAUCCCGUCCUUGACAUGAACCACCAGUGCUCUGUGAUACGUUUUCAACGAGUCGAGUUGUUUGGGAAUGCAGCUCAAAAUGGGUGGUAAAUUCCAUCUAAAGCUAAAUAUUGGCGAGAGACCGAUAGCGAACAAGUACCGUGAGGGAAAGAUGAAAAGCACUUUGGAAAGAGAGUUAAACAGUAUGUGAAAUUGUUGAAAGGGAAACGAUUGAAGUCAGUCAUGUCCUUGGAAUUCAGCUGGUUCUGCCAGUGUAUUUUCCUUGGAUGGGGUCAACAUCAGUUUUGACUGCUGGAUAAAGGCUGUAGCAAUGUAGCACUCUCGGGUGUAUUAUAGGCUAUAGUCGCAUACAGUGGUUGGGACUGAGGAACGCAGCUUGCCUUUAUGGCCGGGAUUCGUCCACGUACAAGCUUAGGAUGUUGACAUAAUGGCUUUAAACGACCCGUCUUGAAACACGG
rnacentral:rRNA from 1 species